rnacentral:lncRNA from 1 species
GUCACGUCCCCUCAGAGCCCCGUUAAGGCCCGCGGCGCCGAGAGGAAGCCCACGGCGGGCAGGGGCGGCCGGGUAUGACAAUCGCCGUGCGGCCCCGGGGCAGCUCCCGGAGGGGGCAGCCCAGACCCACCCCACCCGCCGGCUGCUGUCUCCUCCCGAGCUCGGCGCUGCCCCCUACAGGCCGCGUGGUCCCUCCUCGGUCGCCCCCUGACCCACCAUGAGCCGCCUAGCUCCCUGUCGAGAUUGCCGCCGUCGCGGCUGCUGUCACCGAGGCCGGGUCAUCGGGCCGCGGGGACCUCAAAGCCGAGUGGACGGGAGCCCCAAGUCAUUGCCUAUCCUUCGCCUCCCCAGAGCUGCUGCAACUGUCAGUCACCCACCCGGAACCCCGAGGGGCAACUACCAAGUAGGCCUCGGGGCCCGGAACAAGGGUCCCGGGGCUCAGGAUCUCGGCCGCUGCGCCUCACUCCUGCCCCAGCCCCGCGCACGGAACUCGUUUCCUUCCCACCCAGUUCGGGACACUCCUCUCUGACUUCCCCAGUAGGUCAGACUCAUUUCAUACACUGGGACCAAUUCCUUUCCCUUGGGCUCCUGAUUGAUUCAACUAGUUGGAAGGAUGCUGAGGCAGGGGUGAAGGCUGGGGUGGCUGGCAGGCUAUGAGGGGCAGAGGACAUCAGCAGAGCCUAUUUCGUGCCCUCUGAGUCUCCACACACAGAUUUAUCAUUGAGACCUUCCCGAUUCCCCUACCAGGGAUGCCGGCUGGCCCUGCCGGCCUGCGGGGCCCAGCCUAAGUCAGGCUCAUCUUUUGGGACAGGAUCUCACUUGCAGCGCUACAGCCAGUCCCUCUUCUGGUUCUCACGCACCCACUUAAGGCGGAGUGACUGGCCUAAAAGUCCAAGCUGAUCGUGUGGCUUCCGUUCGUAAAUAUCUCCCCUGGAUCUCCCUCCCUGGAGCCAGACAAGACUCAAAACUCCGAAGGGAAUGCAGUCCCCGCAGGGCGCAAAGGAGAAACUAAUAGUCCAGAGGCGGGGUGAACUUAAAGACCUGGCUUUCAUUAGCGUGGUGUUGUAACAGACUGCCAAGGAGCCUCUGAGGAAAUGGAUUUACGUACAUAUACAUACUCGCCCUUGCCCCUGAAGCAACAUC